CCACUCCCGGGAAUGUUAAUGCAUUCCUUCUUUUUUGGGUGGGAUAUUUCUAUAUGUGCACUAGAAGACAGAGGAGAGAUUGUUGUGGGAUGGGGAAGGUAUUAGAUGUCAAGUGUUUCUGCUGUGGCAACAUGUGCCAAAAUCCUGCACCAUAAAUGAUAAUGACAUGUAACUUUAUGAUGCCAGAGCUAUGUUGUGGACAUGACAUCCAAGCAUAAUAGUGAAUUGUGAUGAUGCACAACAAAACAUCAUGCAAGCUGCCCCAUUGUGCCAGGUGAUCCACUUGCACCAUUGUGGUAUAUCUAUUGGUGUAGUUCUGGUAGCGUUACUGUCUCUCCUCCCCUUCUAAGAAUACAAACAUUGUGCAAUGAUACAAUUUAACCAUGCACAAUUGUAGGUGCUGUGAGCUAUAUCCUUCAGAAAAGGAACUGGCAAAACCACUUCUUGAGUAUUAUUCGCCUAAGAAAAGCCAAUGAAAUUCAAGGGUCUCGUUCAAACAGCACUGAAGGCAACUGGAAGGUACAGCUUGUUUACUUUGUGAUAUGCUGCCACCUGCUGGCCAGGCCCCUUACUAGCACCCAACCCAGGAAGGUGUGCCCAGAAGAAAAGGAUUCGCAUUUCCACUCGAAAUCCAAAACUGAUCCUGUGACGUCAUCGUACACUCACACCGGAAGGGAAGGGGGGAAAAUCCGAUGUUUACACUCCAGUCGCUGGAACUCAGAGUCAGCCUGAUUAGGGCCGAUAACACUUCACUGAACAGCUCAUAACAAAUAGCAACUAGCUUGCUCACAAGCAAAACUGUUCACCCCACCUAUUAGGGAAAAAACACCAUCGCCUCUGCCACCCCACGUGUGAUUCAAGAAAACAGGAACAAGGGAAGGGUAUUUUUCCAGGCUGGUGCUACUGUUUGAUUCACAUUUGAGGUGUGCCCUUUCCAAAUGCAAAGAAAACCAUGUGUGUUC